rnacentral:rRNA from 1 species
CCUACGGGUGGCUGCAGUGAGGAAUAUUGGUCAAUGGACGCAAGUCUGAACCAGCCAUGCCGCGUGCAGGAAGACGGCUCUAUGAGUUGUAAACUGCUUUUGUACGAGGGUAAACGCAGAUACGCGUAUCUGUCUGAAAGUAUCGUACGAAUAAGGAUCGGCUAACUCCGUGCCAGCAGCCGCGGUAAUACGGAGGAUUCAAGCGUUAUCCGGAUUUAUUGGGUUUAAAGGGUGCGUAGGCGGUAGGAUAAGUUAGAGGUGAAAUCCCGAGGCUCAACGUCGGAAUUGCCUUUGAUACUGUUAGGCUAGAGAGUAGUUGAGGUAGGCGGAAGUCAUGGUGUAGCGGUGAAAUGCUUAGAGAUCAUACAGAACACCGAUUGCGAAGGCAGCUUACUAAGCUACUUCUGACGUUGAGGCACGAAAGCGUGGGGAGCAAACAGGAUUAGAUACCCCAGUAGUC